GAUGAAGAACGCAGCGAAAUGCGAUACGUAAUGUGAAUUGCAAAUUCAGUGAAUCAUCGAGUCUUUGAACGCACAUUGCGCCCCCUGGUAUUCCGGGGGGCAUGCCUGUCCGAGCGUCAUUGCUGCCCUCAAGCACGGCUUGUGUGUUGGGCCCCGUCCUCCGAUCCCGGGGGACGGGCCCGAAAGGCAGCGGCGGCACCGCGUCCGGUCCUCGAGCGUAUGGGGCUUUGUCACCCGCUCUGUAGGCCCGGCCGGCGCUUGCCGAUCAACCCAAAUUUUUUAUCCAGGUUGACCUCGGAUCAGGUAGGAAUACCCGCUGAACUUAAGCAUAUCAAUAAGCGGAGGA
rnacentral:misc_RNA from 1 species